AUUGAACGCUGGCGGAAUGCUUUACACAUGCAAGUCGAACGGUAGAGGGGGCAACCCCUUGAGAGUGGCGAACGGGUGAGUAAUAUAUCGGAACGUGCCCAGUCGUGGGGAUAACGUAGCGAAAGUUACGCUAAUACCGCAUACGAUCUAAGGAUGAAAGCGGGGGAUCGCAAGACCUCGCGCGAUUGGAGCGGCCGAUAUCAGAUUAGGUAGUUGGUGAGGUAAAGGCUCACCAAGCCGACGAUCUGUAGCUGGUCUGAGAGGACGACCAGCCACACUGGGACUGAGACACGGCCCAGACUCCUACGGGAGGCAGCAGUGGGGAAUUUUGGACAAUGGGCGAAAGCCUGAUCCAGCAAUGCCGCGUGCAGGAUGAAGGCCCUCGGGUUGUAAACUGCUUUUGUACGGUAACGAAAGAAUUUGUCUUAAUACGAUGAGCUCAUGACGGUACCGUAAGAAUAAGC
rnacentral:rRNA from 1 species